GAGAGAAGGCUUCUAGAAAUCGUUAUUCAGGCGAAGGUUUCAAACCACUAUUAGGUGCUGUAAUUAAAAACUAUGGUGCUGGUUGUGUAAUAGGAUUCACAGCUGAUUUAAGA
rnacentral:ncRNA from 1 species